AGCCAUGCUUUUCUUCUUUCAGCACUGGCCCGGCCAAUAGGAACUCGGAAUAGUCGUUUGCCAUGCGAUGUGUUACUGCUGCACCCGAAGGCAGAGCAACCAGUCAUUUUCAAAUUAUAUGCAUAACAGAGUCACCAAAAUGGCGCAGAGAAAAAUGAUCAGUUCCCGAAGUUGUGCCUAGGGGGCGCAAAAUUGGCGCAAACAACACCAUGGUCACCAGGGUCAUGUCGACAUUCUUUGCUCUGAAGUGCCAAAAUGAUUUGCUCGGCAUGUAUCUUGAAAAAUGCAUAUUCUGUUGUUGUCUACGAUGUUGGCUGAAAUGGCUGGAUUCCAAUCCGAUCCAAGUACGAGUCCCAUAUGGACGAGUGGGUUGAGAGGUCGAGUGUAGUCUGUGGUCUUGUUGACUCACGCUGUCCUUAUCACCAUGAAACUUCUGACUUGGCUCAGAUAUCAUUUCUUGAUAGACCACCUAAACGGGAGUCCUACUUGCUUUCUGACAGUGACAUCAUGUACCCAUCGCUGCUCGUAAAAAGCCAUCCCCGUUCCGAGUGACGGCUCGCCUUCUGCAGGAACAACGAGACCCAUGGCACCCGAAAGCACGCCAUGCAGUUCCGUCAGCGAUGUGCUUGGGUACUACUCAUCCUCUACCUAAUUGGCGGAUUCUACGGCGCCAUGUACCUCCUCUACGCAGAUGGCGGCUACUACAUGCUAGUUGUGGUGAACCGCAGCUCAGAUCAGCCUCAAAGUGCCGCUGCUAAGCUCUUGCCAUUCCUGCGGUGGCGUCACAUUCAAGACGUUCCGCUCUUCGUGAUCGUUGUCGUAAUGCCUGCACUUUACCUGCAGGGUUACGCGCUGAUUUUCGCCUGUACAAAAUCUGAUAUAAAGGCGCAGGUCGUCAGAACUGUCAUCCCGUUCUGUGUUUGUACGUUGUUGGUGUGGCUGUUUCGUACUGUAGCAAAGUUGUUGAGGAUGCGAAACAAAGUGAUAGCGACAACGAAUGGUUAUAGAAAGCCACUGGUUCCUAUAUGACAGUGGGUUAGAACACAAAAAAUUUAUGCGUGUGACUACAUGCGUUACAUUUUUUUUUUACAGACAGCGAUGUAAGCUUUAAGCAAGGAUGAGUGGUUGCUAUGAUUUCAUCCGUGUCUAUUCCCCCCAUUACAUCACGACAUUGUACUGCAACUUCUUUUGGGGGCUUGCUUUUGGUUUUCUAAAUGUUCUUGUAGCUGUAACUUGACCUUGCUUAGGGUCAUAGUGUGGAGAAAAAUUUUGUUUUCACCCUCGGGAGAUUCUUACGUGUCCCAGUUAGGUGCAAAAUGAAGACUACAUGCGAAAUGAAUAGUUGCUGCCACAUAUUUUCAAUCUACAGGAUUCAUUUCCAUACUUGAAAUAUGGUAAAUUUGAAUGCAAAAUGAGAAACGUUAACUUUUAAAGCCUCGUGAUUUUUGUGAUCUGCCACCGUGCCUUGCAAAGCCGUUCGCAUUACGUGUGGAGUGGCUCUGUUGUGUGCCACGCUCAAGUGUAAAGGAGCUGAAGCCUUGCAUUGUUCUGAACCUGUUUUGCAUUUUUUGUGUGGUAAAAAACCGAGGAGAAGCAAGAGCCCCGUAUGUACUUUGUCGGGUCACAAGUGAUUGUUUGCCUGUGUUGAAUGUAUAGCUAUAUUCUUUAUAGUUACACGAGCUUUGGUAUAUUGCAGAUGAAGCCCUCGACUAAACAAGGGCGCAAGAAAUGGCCACAUACGAAUGUGUCAUCUAAAUACGAAGCAGGUAUAACAUGUCUCUAAAUUUUUAUUUGCACGAUGUAACAUGCUUCAACUGUGGUUAAAAGUAAAGUGUUUUCAUACCAGGGGAAAAUACAGGUAAAUGAUAACAGUUGGCAGUCAGUUCAAUUGUAUGGCUUACAUUCAAUUAGAUAACUUAUCUUUUUUGUCACCAUAAUUGUGCUAAUCAGGACUUUCUACAUCUACAAAGCAUUUGCUCGUGAAGUCUUUUGCAUACCUGACACACUUUUGGCUGAGCACAAAAGUAAUAAAUCUCACUAUCAUAUCUCACUAUGUGAGAAAAUUAAAACUACCAGGAGGCAUUUAAAAUAAAUCCAUGUUAAAAUGCUAUAUACUAGUCAUUCCUAGCCAGUAUAUAUUAGAUGUCUAGUACUUAACCAUACGCAGCUUUGUUAUUAAUUAUUGUGAAGCUUGAUUGCUACACAAGGUACACUACUUAAGAUUCUUGCUGUCUUUGUGGCAGCACUGCGUUACUUGUAUAUUCCAAACGCUUUGUUUUAACCGUAAGAGACAAACUUGGUUUCCGAACAUUCUAUGUUCCUCCAAACCAUACCAUAAUUCCCUGGUUUCAGAGUUCUGCCUUAGUUGUCUCUAACGACUAACUAUAUGAUGUGGGGGCUUGUUCUGGCAGCUGUGUUGUCUUUAGUUAGUUAGUUGUACAUAGACAGCUACUACAAACUGUGCCUACUAUAAUAGUUCAAGCAUCGCUUGACGUUAUAGCACUGUGUAAUAUAAGGCAGGCAUUUUCCUUCCUGUGUUUUAUGCUACAUUCUUACAUAGUUGAUAUAUUGAUUUACACAUGUGUUUAGUUACAUAUAUUUUAUGAGCCAAAUCUAACCCAAACUUUGUCUGCCAAUAUCAUAGUGAACUGUUGAUUCUGUGCAAAGGGUUGUUUUGAUUGCCUAUGGGCAAUAAUAUAUAUACUUUUGUAAGGACAGAAGCUCUAGCUGGAAAUGCUCUUUAAUGUUGGCUACCCCUUUUUUUUAUGAAUAUUUAUUUGAUUUGCAGCAGAUCACGUUUACAGAUUAUGUAUGGAACGUAGUUUUACAAGUGUGCAUAUUGUCAUUUACUUUCCUCAGCCUCGUUGAUUUUGUAUUGCCGCGAGAGUGUCCGCAAUGAGUUUACUCUAGGUAUUUACAGGUAUGAGUGAGCCUUUCUCUCCACAAAUGUAAGACUGGUCUUGUCAUUUUACAUUUAUAUUUUGUAUCCCUAGUCUCGUACCAGCUGUGCCAAAGAGUGCCUAUAAUAAAGUACGUUUACACACUUCUA